GCAAAGGGGAAUGAUCCAAGCAUGCGAGUCAUUGUAGCAAUACAAGGCAGACGGCUCAGUAACGCGUAGCCAACCUAACCUAUGGACGGGAAUAAUCUCGGGAAACUGAGAAUAAUGCCCGAUAGAACACUAUAUCUGGAAUGGUUUGUGUUCCAAAUGAUUUAUCGCCAUAGGAUGGGACUGCGGCCUAUCAGUUUGUUGGUGAGGUAAUGGCCCACCAAGACUAUUACAGGUACGGGCUCUGAGAGGAGUAGCCCGGAGAUGGGUACUGAGACACGGACCCAGGCCCUAUGGGGCGCAGCAGGCGAGAAAACUUUGCAAUGUGCGAAAGCACGACAAGGUUAAUCCGAGUGGUUUCUGCUAAAGGAACCUUUUGUCGGUCCUAGAAACACCGAUGAAUAAGGGGUGGGCAAGUUCUGGUGUCAGCCGCCGCGGUAAAACCAGCACCUCAAGUGGUCAGGAUGAUUAUUGGGCCUAAAGCAUCCGUAGCCGGCUCUGUAAGUUUUCGGUUAAAUCUGUACGCUUAACGUACAGGCUGCCGGGAAUACUGCAUAGCUAGGGAGUGGGAGAGGUAGACGGUACUCGGUAGGAAGGGGUAAAAUCCUUUGAUCUAUUGAUGACCACCUGUGGCGAAGGCGGUCUACCAGAACACGUCCGACGGUGAGGGAUGAAAGCUGGGGGAGCAAACCGGAUUAGAUACCCGGGUAGUCCCAGCUGUAAACUAUGCAAACUCAGUGAUGCAUUGGCUUGUGGCCAAUGCAGUGCUGCAGGGAAGCCGUUAAGUUUGCCGCCUGGGAAGUACGUACGCAAGUAUGAAACUUAAAGGAAUUGGCGGGGGAGCACCACAAGGGGUGAAGCCUGCGGUUCAAUUGGAGUCAACGCCGGG
rnacentral:rRNA from 1 species